UCUCUGCCAAGCACCGUUUCCUAGCUGGAACAGGGGGAAAAACCGCAGCACUUCUGCCCACAGUCGCCGGGACUUGACUGGGGUCCUAGAGCCGAAUGGGGAACUCGCUCUAUCCACCCCCAGGCACUGGACGACACAGUCCUAGGAGCUCUAGUCCUCACAAAGACUUUCUUAGUUGAAUCCUCCACACUGGAACAGUGAUUAGCCAUCUCUCCUCCCAGUAACCAGACGACACAUAGUUCUGGGAGUACAAGCUGGAAUGUUUUAAUCUGGUCAGAUGGGCUGCUUUUAUAUAAUUUGUAGACACAGUUAAGCAUACCCCGGACACUCCCACACAACAAGAUAAUCUAUCAUCUGGACCUGAGAGGGGACUAGUUACCAGUCCCAAACUCCUCCCCUGUGUCUGAGAGAUAAUGAGUCAGGAAUUGAACAAACUCAAUUAUCUCCAGGCACAGAAAAC